rnacentral:rRNA from 1 species
UCGCUAGUAAUCGCAAGUCAGCAUAUUGCGGUGAAUACGUUCCCGGGUCUUGUACACACCGCCCGUCACACCAUGGGAGUUGGCAACACCCGAAGUCGAUGAGCUAACCUUUUAGGAGGCAGUCGCCUAAGGUGGGGUUGAUAACUGGGGUGAAGUCGUAACAAGGUAUC